rnacentral:rRNA from 1 species
CAGCAGCCGCGGUAAUACGAGGGGGGCAAGCGUUGUUCGGAAUUAUUAGGCGUAAAGCGUACGUAGGCGGCUUUGUAAGUUAGAGGUGAAAGCCCGGGGCUCAACCCCGGAAUUGCCUUUAAGACUGCAUCGCUUGAAUCGCGGAGAGGUGAGUGGAAUUCCGAGUGUAGAGGUGAAAUUCGUAGAUAUUCGGAAGAACACCAGUGGCGAAGGCGGCUCACUGGACGCGUAUUGACGCUGAGGUACGAAAGCGUGGGGAGCAAACAGGAUUAGAUACCCCUGUAGUCCCUGUCUCUUAUAC